UACGUAGGGCGCAAGCGUUGUCCGGAAUUAUUGGGCGUAAAGAGCUCGUAGGCGGCCUGUUGCGUCCGCUGUGAAAUCCCGGGGCUCAACCCCGGGCCUGCAGUGGAUACGGGCUGGCUAGAGGCAGGCAGGGGAGAACGGAAUUCCUGGUGUAGCGGUGAAAUGCGCAGAUAUCAGGAGGAACACCUGUGGUGUAGACAGCUUACUGGACCAUUUCUGACGCUGAGACACGAAAGCGUGGGUAGCAAACAGG
rnacentral:rRNA from 1 species